GGGAGUGAGGUAUAGUGACAGUAACAGAGGGGUUUGAGGGCCCCGCUCAGUGAGUUUACAUGCUAGAAGGAGUGGGGUAUAGUGACACCAUAACAGAGGGAUUUAGGGCCUGCUCAGUGAGUUAGAGGGAGUGGGGUAUAGUGACACAGUAACACAGGGAUUGAGGGCCCUGCUCAGUGAGUUUACAUGUUAGAGGGAGUGGGGUAUAGUGACACAGUAA